rnacentral:lncRNA from 1 species
UCAGCAUUUAAAAAAUAUUUUAUAAGCUCAUUCAUCUUCAAUUUGACAUGUAUUUUUGAGUACGAGCUUUAUUCAAAGAACCACAUUGGAAACAAAUACAAAGGUUAUCACUCUGAACAACAGUUGUCAGUGAUGGAGAGACUGAACUGAAAACAUACCUGGACAUACCUCAGAAAUGAUCUCUAUAUCCCAUCUUCACCAAUUUUCUGGACCUGAACUUAGAAAAGGGCAUUUCUGGUCUACCAUCUCCCUGCACACACAGGUGAAUUACAGUAUUAUUCAGCUUUGAUUAUGUAAUUUUCAAGUUUUCUGUAUACGUUAACAAACUUUAUAUUUUCUAAAUGUUUUUAAACUCAAUUUUCUUUAAAUAACCAAGUGUUGAAAACUUUACA